UUUGAAGAAAUUGUGGAAGCCAAAAAAACCCUAAACCUAACCCUAAAGCACAACCCAUCGCCUAUAAGAACAAGUGUUUCGGUUCAUCAGCUAAGAGAGGUAUCCAACAGAGGCUGCGGGGACUUGAAACUUCUUAAAACGCUUCUCGUUUUGUUUCAGCUGGGAGAGAAGAGAUAGAGAGAAAAACAUUACCCAAUGCCAAGAAAGAGUGAAAAGAGAGAGAAAUGGGGUGGAGACAUGAUACCCAUUGGAGACCCGCAGGUUCUUGCUAAUCACUGAUUAUUGUGUGUUAGUUAAAGGUCAAAUAUUGGGCAAAAAAUUUAGCUCUAAAAUAUUCAAAAAAUCAUUACAAGUUUUCACACCACUCUCAUUACUUUUUUGGAUAAACCUCAAUAUAUCUAUAUCUAUAUCUAUAUUUUUUUUACACAUGUACAAACAUUAAUUAUAGCUCAUUGGGCAUGCUAGUAUUGACUUAAUAAGGAUGGGGAAUGCUAAUCAUUGUUUAAUGAGUGGUUAAAAAUUAGUAUGAGUAAACAAUGCAUUGAAAUAUUUGAAAAGUGAAAGUUUAUCCUAACUUGAUGGUUUUGCUCAUUGCCAUUGGUCAUUGGCAUUUGUUAAGGAUGAAAUAAUAUGUAAAAAAGAGUUGAAAAUCCAAUACAUAUUUCACAUAUCUUUUUACACUUUUAUAUAUUUUAAUGUAUGUUUUUGACAUAUUUUAAUAUAUUUUUUACACAUAUCACAUUUGUUACCAAUCAAUGAGCAAUUGUUAGCAUUUUCUUAUAAUAAUUGAGAAAUGUUAAUCAUUGCUCAAUGUGUGUGAUUGAAAUUGAUAUAUGUGUAAAAAGUGUAUUGAAAUAUGUGAAAAAUGUUUAUUUUAAUAUAUAAAGCCAACCCUUUAUGUAGAUUGAAAUUGGAUCGCUCUAGGUUUGUCUAGAGCAGUUACCAAUCUUAUCUAGCUGUUUUAAUGAGUAACUAUAAGAUUUAACUAAUUCGCACAUAAUAAUAUGGGUUGUGAAAUGUGGGUAUAAUGAUGAUGCAAGUAUUGUGUUUUGAGGUAUAUUUGAUUGAAUCAAUUGGACUGAGAUCCUCUCCCUUACAUGGUUGUGAUGGAGGAUCUCCAUUAUAUCAUUUAAGGGUCAUGAAAUAAUUAUGAGAAUUUAUUACUAUUUUAAAUUUAGGAAUUAUUAUAAACCUUUGGAUGAUGUAAUAGAGAUCUUUUAUUACAAUUUUGGAAUGGAGAGAGAGUAUCACAAUUCGAAACAAUUACCUCUUACUUGAACUUUGACCUUUUUCAUUACACAGUUGCAAUGGAAGAUCUUUAUCAACUAUCCAAUGGCUAUAAAUUAGGUUUUGUGAAUUUAUCAAAAAAGUCAUUUUUAUAACCGUAGGAUGAUGUAAUGAAAAUCUUUUAUUACAACUAUAUAAUAGAGAGGAUCACACUCCCACAGAGACAUUUUGAAUGCUUGCAACCCAAUCCAUUUGUAUAUUUUUUCGCCAUUUUAAAUCAUUUGGUUUAAGCUUUAGCUCCCAUACUACCACCACCAUGGCAUGACAUGUGGAGGUGGUGGUUUUAAUAAAUGAGGCAAUGCAAAAGCUUUACUCCCAUAGUAUCCCUGUAUCUCUUGAUUGAGGUCUCAUAACUAUAGUUCUUAGUGAUUCUUGUUGGGGAGUAACAUGAUCUGCUCCAAUUAUUUUGUAGACAUCGUUUUUAUUGAUUCAGGAGCAUCAUGUUGGCAUGCUAAUUGUUGAGUUGGUGUUUUGAAUUGUUGAAACAUUAUCCCUUUUAAGUAAGGUUCAUUGCAUCUAUUAUUGUAUCAUAGUUGCAUGAAAUUUAAAAAAUUGAGUUCUGAGUUUCUACUCACUGUUUGCCCAAAAAAUAAUGUGUAGGAAAUUUGGAAUUAUCUAGUGAAACUGGUAGGAUAUAUAAUUAUUGAAGGUGCCUAGAUUUAGAGCCAAUUUAAAAUGAGGCCAGUAGUUGUAUGUUCAUUGACUUGAGUUUCAGUUUCAUCCAAGAUUAGGUGCAAUGUGUGCAAUCAUCUUAAGUUCUUCCUUCUGAGUUUGUUUUUCAUCUAUUUGAUUUUGUGUAAGCAUUUUUGCCUCAAUUUUUACUGUUUAUAUAUACUCAUGAGAUUUAUGCUUCUCGAUGAUGAACAAAUAAUAUGAUGAUGAGUCCGAUUUCAUUGCAUUCCUUUAGAAAUUGUGACGACAAAUUGAGGCGUUUGUCUUGAGAGAAUGCUCAUACCCCAAGGCAUUUAUCAAUCUUAGGCAUUUAUCAAUCUCAUGUUUUGCAGAUGAUGAUGGCAGAAGAAAGUGCCAGUGUGAAAUAAAAGGAAGAAAUAACAUUUUUUUCUAGUUGUUUAGUUCUGAAUUGCUCUUUAUUAGAAGUUUAGAACCCAUAUCAGUAGUACAAGAAUAAUUAUGCAAAAAUAUUAUUCAUACACCUUAAUAUUUCAAUAUAUUUUGAGAAAUAUUAGAGAUCAACUCAUUUAAUUUUACAAAUUCACCCACAGUGAUGUGGUAAAGUAGUUGGACCCGUAUCAUUGGGUGUAACAAAUCAAAUAUUGAUACCUAUUAUGCCACAUCAUUGUGGGUUAAAUUGUGAGAUUUUUGUGGGUUUCAAAUAUUUUUCAUAUUUGUAUGUGUAAAAAUAUAUUAAAGUAUUAAAAAUUUAUAUAAAUAUAUUUAACAAGUAUUUUUUAACAAUUAUUUUGAGUGUAAUAGUUAACAAAACUUGAAAUAGUUGCAUAUUUUUUAAACACAAUUUUAUCUUUUUAAAUGCGAACCCCUCUCAUUUUCUCUCUUUUUCCUUUCCUCUUACAAUCCUCUCUUAUUUUUUUCUCUUUUCUUUCUAGCUACUUUUAGUUAGGAUAUUUUUUACAGUUAACAUUAUUGUAGAGUAUCUUUAAUGGAGGUGUUAAAUACUUUGUUUUGUGUUAACUGUGGAGAGUAACUUAGCAAGACAUAGUUAUCAAAGAGGAGAGAUAAUGGGUAGGAGUAUUGAAGAGAAAGGAAAAGAGAGAAAAAGGGGAGGGGGGGUUGCUAUAAACUAAUUGUGUUAAUUGUUAUUUUUUUGUAUUUUUACAUUGUUUGUGGUAGGGUGCAAAUAAAAGAUUGUGAGGAGUGCAUGUGUCACAUGUGUUCAUAUUUUUUUUCUCUCCUCUCAUCUACAUGUAGUUUUUCUAUAUUUAAACUAUAAUAUUAAAUUAAUUAUAAUAUUUUUAUUUUAAAAUAUGGAAAAAAAGUAUUUAUUCAACAAUUUGAUGUUGCCUAAUCAUUCUCAUUCUGAUUUUUAUUUUUAUUUUUAUUUUUUAAAUGGUUUUUAUAUACAAAGAUGCUAGAUCCCAAAUGAAUUAUUAAAUAUUAGGUUUUGUUGAUGAGUGUCGUUAGGCUACUUGAUAAGAAGUUUAAAAUGCUUGUACAUAAUGCAUGUGUGUACAUGUAAUGUAUAAUCAAUUUACAUAUUAUUAAUCAAUAUCCUUAUGACACUCGUUAAUUAAAUUCUUAAAUAUUUUAUUAAAUAUGCACAUGAGGCACGGUGUGAGUAUUUAAGGGGUUGUUUGGGAUGUCUUAAAUAAUUGCACUCUUUGACUCUUUAGAUUAAAAAGCCAAAGAAAAAAAGACGUUUGGGAUAAUUUUUUGAUUUUUUACGAAAAAAUAUGUAUUAAAAAAUUAUAUAAAUUAGUGUGUAGGAGAAGCUUAGGAUCGAAUAGGCAGUACGGUGGAUGUCAGCGUGUGCAGAGUAGUGUAUAGGAGAUGGUUGUCUCCUUGUCGAGCAUUGAAUUGGACAACAACCAUCUCCUUAGCGUGUCCAAUUCAAUACUUGAAAAGUAGGCAAUCAUUUCCUAUACACUACUCUGUACACGUAUAUUUUGUAAAAAGUCAAAAAGUUAUUUCAAACAAUCAUCUAUUUUUUCUCAAUUUUUUAGUUUAAAUAGUGUACUUAUUUAGGAUAUUCUAAACAAUUGCAUAAUAUUUGGCAAUUUAUUGGGAUCCUAACAUUGUUCUUUUUUAUAUAUAUAUGGGUUUUAUGUUUUUCCAUGAUGAUCAAAUAAUAUGAUGAGGAGUAACCAUGGAAUGCGGUAAACCUUUUCUGGCACCCGGCAGUGCGGAGUGGGGAAAAAUGAAAAAGAAGAAAGCUUCCAUUUUUUAUUGCCUUUCUUGGGUCGUAGUUUCGGUUGUAUCACGUUUUCUUGAUAUGAAAUUUCUAGUAUUAUUUUUCUAGAAUUUUUAUGUGUGAUUUAAUAUGAUUUUAUUUUAUUUUAUUUUAUUUUUUUUAUGGUAAUCUUGAGGUACUUUUUUGAUGUGAAUAUUUUGUUUAAAUAGAUAGGUUUUUGAAGAAGAAUUGAUAUUAGUUUGAUCAUCGAAUCAUUUUAUGAUGAUUUUUUCAAUUCUGGGAAAAGAAAAAUGUUGGCACAAAUUGACUGUUCAACACUUCGGUGAGGGGAAUGUUUUUCAUUGCAUAUGCUAAUUCUUUUUUGAGUACAAGUGGUUUGGUAACUUGAUUUUUAGGUUGAAAUCAGUGACUAAAAAAAUUAAAGUUAGUUAAUAAGUUACUAGAAAGACAAUUCAUUUUCUCAUACAAUUAAAAAGUCAUUUUGAAACACUGCUUUUUUCAUCUGAAAGCAAGUUAAUAAAAAAAUCAAGUCGUUGAAGGGGCACUUAUGUGUACUCACCUAGCGACCACCUCACUCUUUUAAUUCGGACUGUAAUAAUACAUUCAUUGAAAUGGCAAAAUAAGUUGAAAAGGCAACAAAAUUUUGUAGUGUUUCUUGCCUUUAAAAGGUAGUAAAAUUUUACUGUCUUAGACGAAAUAUCACUUUUUAAAAAUGGAUAAAUUUAAAAUUCAGGCAUAAGAACUAUGUUGCAAAAGAAAUUAAGUACAGUUCAUUUAUUUUUAGAACUAAAAAAUUCAAAUUAAGGGAUCCAAACAUGAUAAUAAAUGGAAACUUCGAUUAUUUUAAAAUAGAAAUCUUUCUUGUUUUUUGGAAAUACUGAAAUUUCUUUGUUUUGUUUUCAAUUUCACUUGCUGUUUAUUUCAUUUAUAAAAUCAGCAAGGGUAUUGUAUUCACAUAAUGGUGGAAAAAUAAUUAUAUAGACAGAAAUAUCAAAGCAUGAGUAGAGUAAAGGCAACCAAGUGCAACAAAGCCUAACCUUCUAAACGAGCCAUGAAUGAGCUACAAUGCUCAAAUAGUGAUAAGAUCUCUAAGCUUGUUGAUUUGAAGUCAUCUUCUUUAAGCUUGUUGACGGAAUUGGUGGAAGCUAAAGAGAGUUGUAUAUCCAUCAGUGGAGAACAUUGAAGUAAUUGAGCGUGUAAGGGCAAAUUGGACAAGAUUAAUUUAAAACAUAAAAAUGGACUUCGACUUCUAAAGUUUAAAAGCUUAGGACCUUGGCUAUGAAGCACUUCUAAGUUCUAAGUUAAAAUUCAACUCUUAUAGAUUAAUGGUUAAGGAAGGAUUGCUAUUUUUUCCUAUAAUUCAUUUGCAGUGACAAAUUAGAUGCUUUGUAACAUAAUUUUAAUAACUGCAUUGAUUUUUUAUUUUUCUGAACACCAAAAAAGGACUUUUUGUAGGGACAUCAUAGCAUUUGUAGGUGCUGAUCUUGAAAUAAUUGGUUGACGGCCAUAUUAAACCCCAAAAAAAGGAUCCACAAUUGGGGUAAGCGGGAAAUGCACCAAUUUCCAGCACACAAGGCAUAAUUACGAGCAAAGUAUAACAUUGUUAGGUCAUGUUUGUUUGGACGGAUUGGAAAAGGGGAACUGUAAUCCAUCGGACUAUUAAUCUUGAGAUAUAAAGUUCUUAGAUUAUUUAGUUGGAAAGAAUGUGUAUCGGAUUGUUUUAUCAUAAGAUUAGAUGUAUGGAAAUGACUAUUCUAUUGAA